rnacentral:rRNA from 1 species
AGAGUUUGAUCCUGGCUCAGAGCGAACGCUGGCGGCGUGCUUAACACAUGCAAGUCGAGUGCGCAGUUUUCUGUAGCAAUACAGGGAACCGGCGCACGGCGCACGGGUGAGUAACACGUGGGCAACCUGCCCUACAGAGGGGGAUACCCCCGCGAAAGCGGGACUAAUACCGCAUGAUAUUCCGGUGGCUUCGGCUGCUGGACUCAAAGUCCGCAAGGACGCUGUUGGAGGGGCCCGCGCCCGAUUAGCUAGUUGGUGAGGUAACGGCUCACCAAGGCAAUGAUCGGUAGCCGAUCUGAGAGGAUGAUCGGUCACACUGGAACUGAGACACGGUCCAGACUCCUACGGGAGGCAGCAGUGGGGAAUCUUGCGCAAUGGGCGAAAGCCUGACGCAGCGACGCCGCGUGGGGGAUGAAGCUUCUCGGAGUGUAAACCCCUUUCGACCCGGACGAAACUCCCGCAAGGGAUUGACGGUACGGGUAUAAGAAGCCCCGGCUAACUACGUGCCAGCAGCCGCGGUAAGACGUAGGGGGCCAGCGUUGCUCGGAAUUACUGGGCGUAAAGGGUUCGUAGGCGGUGUGGCAAGUCGGAAGUGAAAUCUCCAGGCUUAACUUGGAGGCUGCUUCCGAAACUGCCGUGCUAGAGUGCGGGAGAGGCCAGUGGAAUUGCAGGUGUAGCGGUGAAAUGCGUAGAUAUCUGCAGGAACACCCGUGGCGAAGGCGGCUGGCUGGACCGCAACUGACGCUGAGGAACGAAAGCUAGGGGAGCAAACAGGAUUAGAUACCCUAGUAGUCC